AACUAACGCUGGCGGCGUGCCUAACACAUGCAAGUCGUACGAGAAAGUUGGCUUCGGCCGAUGAGUAAAGUGGCGCACGGGUGAGUAAUGCGUGGAUAAUCUGCCCUUUAGUUGGGAAUAACGUACCGAAAGGUGCGCUAAUACCUGAUAAUACUGCAUAACUACUGUUGUGUAGUCAAAGAAGGCCUCUGUUUACAAGCUUUUGCUGAAGGAUGAGUCCGCGUACCAUUAGCUGGUUGGUGGGGUAAUGGCCUACCAAGGCUACGAUGGUUAGCUGGUCUGAGAGGAUGAUCAGCCACACUGGAACUGAGACACGGUCCAGACUCCUACGGGAGGCAGCAGUGAGGAAUAUUGGUCAAUGGGCGGAAGCCUGAACCAGCCAUGCCGCGUGCAGGAUGACGGCCCUACGGGUUGUAAACUGCUUUUCCCGGGGCGAUAACCCCUCGCGGGGGAUGCCGGUACCGGGGACGUAAGGAUCGGCUAACUCCGUGCCAGCAGCCG
rnacentral:rRNA from 1 species